rnacentral:rRNA from 1 species
UGAGCCAAGUUUAGGGUUUUCUCAAAACCCAAGCAGUAUUGAACUGAAGAGUUUGAUCAUGGCUCAGAUUGAACGCUGGCGGCAGGCCUAACACAUGCAAGUCGAGCGGAUGAAGGGAGCUUGCUCCUGGAUUCAGCGG